CUGCAACUCGCCUGCACGAAGUCGGAAUUGCUAGUAAUCGUAGGUCAGCAUACUACGGUGAAUACGUUCCCGGGCCUUGUACACACCGCCCGUCAAACCAUGAGAGUUGGCAACACCCGAAGUCGGUAGUCUAACCGCAAGGAGGACGCCGCCGAAGGUGGGGUUGAUGAUUAGGGUUAAGUCGUAACAAGGUACC
rnacentral:rRNA from 1 species